rnacentral:rRNA from 1 species
UAGGGAAUCUUCCGCAAUGGACGAAAGUCUGACGGAGCAACGCCGCGUGAGCGAAGAAGGCCUUCGGGUCGUAAAGCUCUGUUGUUAGGGAAGAACAAGUAUCGGAGUAACUGCCGGUACCUUGACGGUACCUAACCAGAAAGCCACGGCUAACUACGUGCCAGCAGCCGCGGUAAUACGUAGGUGGCAAGCGUUGUCCGGAAUUAUUGGGCGUAAAGCGCGCGCAGGCGGUCCUUUAAGUCUGAUGUGAGAGCCCACGGCUCAACCGUGGAGGGUCAUUGGAAACUGGGGGACUUGAGUGCAGAAGAGGAGAGUGGAAUUCCACGUGUAGCGGUGAAAUGCGUAGAGAUGUGGAGGAACACCAGUGGCGAAGGCGACUCUCUGGUCUGUAACUGACGCUGAGGCGCGAAAGCGUGGGGAGCAAACAGGAUUAGAUACCCUGGUAGUCCACGCCGUAAACGAUGAGUGCUAAGUGUUAGAGGGUUUCCGCCUUUAG